rnacentral:rRNA from 1 species
ACCUACGGGGGGCAGCAGUGAGGAAUAUUGGUCAAUGGUCGGGGGACUGAACCAGCCAAGCCGCGUGAGGGAUGAAGGUACAGAGUAUCGUAAACCUCUUUUGUCAGGGAACAAAGGCGGGGACGCGUCCCCGGAUGAGUGUACCUGAAGAAAAAGCAUCGGCUAACUCCGUGCCAGCAGCCGCGGUAAUACGGAAGAUGCGAGCGUUAUCCGGAUUUAUUGGGUUUAAAGGGUGCGCAGGCGGUCUGUUAAGUCAGCGGUCAAAGCCCGGGGCUCAACCCCGGCCCGCCGUUGAAACUGGCAGU